GAUCUUCUAAAGAGCGUUAAUUAAACAAUACGAAUUUAUCUCACUUAUUAAGUCAGGACCGCCGCUCUAUGGGUCCUAGGGAUCCGGCCAUAAAUCUUACCAGUUUCCGCAACACAAAACCGCCGGGCAGCUACCUUGCGGGUGUAUAGAAGAAGGAAAAGGAGUGCGAAGGAGGGGAUGGAUUUAUUUUCUUGUCCUUGGCAAGAGAUCCAUAGUUAUUUUAGACACGGGAGAGCAUCGGAUGAUCAGUAAGAGAAAAAAUAGCCUCAAGGUUUAAAGGGAUGUUUGAUGACAGAGAAUCGUUGGAUGUAAGGGGAUGGAGGGUAGAAUUAAUCAAAGACAACGGAUGUAAAUCAAAAUCCUCCAAUCCACUGGUAUCGAUGGAACCCUACGGCAAGUUGCAGACCACCCCUACCUCUACUCUGUUCAUCGACCACUGGACUGCCCUCGGUACUAAUUAUAGCCACCUUCUCGCACCCCUUGGACACUUGACUGAUAAUGCAGCCGCUGCAUUCUUGAUUUUCUGGAAGCACUGGACUGACUCACUAAAGGCGAAGCCGUAGCGAAUCAAGGAUCACAUCAACAAUCCUCCAUUUCCCCAUGCAUAUCCAUGAGAUGCAGAUGCAGCGAGCUGUUAAUAGUGCAGUCUGACGUUGCAUCGGGAUAUAAUGAUCUGCAUAUCUGAUUAGGUAGCCAGGACCGCCUCUAGAGCCUAGAGACUGGCUAACUCUCGGCAGUAUAAUGUAUGCGGUGUAGACGCGCAUCCCCCGUCUGCCUUUAUAAUGAGUCAAAUCCUCAAUGCAUCAAGUAGUGCUGAAUUAGACAGUACAGUAGCAAGAGUAACAUCCUAGCAAGACUUGAUACGUGCAAGGGGCGAAAGGGUGGAUGGGAGGCUCAAGGGAUGACGUCGAUAAAGCCUAAAUCUACAUUUCUUUCUCAUUCUAAGACGUUCAAUAACUCGUAUGUAGACACUUGUCGAACAACUGGCGGCGGCGUCAUCAACUAUUCCUUGGGAAUAAGUUUCCGUAGAGAGGACGUCGGCAGCUGGGCUCCAGGGGUGCGGAACUGAGUGUAUAUUCUAUAUGGCCAGAGCUUGCCAGGUACACGCGUCUUCUCUUCCAUCGUACCUAACCUAUAUCUACGUAGCAGCUACCUCCACGCCAUUUUCCACAUGCUACUCGACUCCUGUGCUAAUGAUUGUUGAAUCGCGAGGGAAAGCAUUAAAGUCGAGUUUGCUGCGCUG